GACGAACGCUGGCGGCGUGCCUAAUACAUGCAAGUUGAGCGCUGAAGGUUGGUACUUGUACCAACUGGAUGAGCAGCGAACGGGUGAGUAACGCGUGGGGAAUCUGCCUUUGAGCGGGGGACAACAUUUGGAAACGAAUGCUAAUACCGCAUAAAAACUUUAAACACAAGUUUUAAGUUUGAAAGAUGCAAUUGCAUCACUCAAAGAUGAUCCCGCGUUGUAUUAGCUAGUUGGUGAGGUAAAGGCUCACCAAGGCGAUGAUACAUAGCCGACCUGAGAGGGUGAUCGGCCACAUUGGGACUGAGACACGGCCCAAACUCCUACGGGAGGCAGCAGUAGGGAAUCUUCGGCAAUGGACGAAAGUCUGACCGAGCAACGCCUCGUGAGUGAAGAAGGUUUUCGGAUCGUAAAACUCUGUUGGUAGAGAAGAACGUUGGUGAGAGUGGAAAGCUCAUCAAGUGACGGUAACUACCCAGAAAGGGACGGCUAACUACGUG
rnacentral:rRNA from 1 species